rnacentral:lncRNA from 1 species
UUGUAUUUAGGCCUCAAAUGUGAGCCCAAUGGAGAACCACGCUAGGAAAAUUUAAUAAACACGCAGCCAAGUUCCAGAUUUUGUAUAACACCAAGUAAAUGCAGAAUUAGAGCCGACCCUCAAGCUCGCAUAUGAUUACAAUUUUUGCUUACUGGCUCUUAGGAAUAAUGCUACAUAGACCCACCAUAGUCAUUCGUAUACUUUGCAUUUAAUCAUGAUAUAAUCACAUCCAUUAACCUAAAUCUGUCACCUUACCAGGGGUAUUAGAAUUACAUAUUACAUUACUAACUACUCUAAAUACUAUUAUCGAUAUUUAUUCAUGAAAUUGAAAUAGGACUGAUGCUAACAGUCCAGGAAUAACCCUAUAAUCAUUUACAAGGCAGAUUAGUUAAAUGUCCAAUUUUACAAGACCUUGUCUUAACUUUGAUAAAUAACACAAAGCAAUACAAGCUGAAAUAAAAACAUAAACACUUUUGUAACUGGAGCAUCCAUUAAGUCCAAACUUCCUACAUCAUUGGAGAUGGAAAAUAUACCUGGAAUUUGUGCAAAACAAACUGAAAGUCAGCAACACUCAAACAACAUCAUAUCCACAAGAAUCCACAGCUUAUGAAUAGUUCAUAAACCCAGAAAUGAUUCCAAAUGACCAGAGAAGUUUUAAUCCAAACUCAAACUAGUAAGAAACCACCCAAAUGGCUAACAGGAACCUCUACCAGCCAUACAUGACCCUGACCAGCUUGAAUUGAGACUAGGACAGUACUUGAACAUCAAAUAUAUGUAAUUUCAGAUCAUUUUUCUACCUCCUAUAGCUAAAUCACUGAUAGAGAGUUGAGAUUAAGAGUUUUAAAAGGUAAAAUCCAAUGGAACUGUAAAAAACUUGGAUUUUUGGAGAUUUUGAGGAAUUUUUGAGAGAUUUUUUAAGCUUCAAAAUUCUGGGAAUUUUAGAGAUAAUUUCAGACUGUCUAACCCCUUUUUUGGAUGAAUUGGGGUGCCUUUUAUAGCCAAAGGCUAGUGCAACCCUUUUAUUUUAUUUUAACUACUCGUCUCUCUUUUGAUUUUCAAACUUUACCUGCUUGGUCAUUAAUCUUUUGACUUGUUUCCCAAGUUACUGCACUAAGCUACUGAUUUUUAAACUAAAAUCCCCUUCUAGAAGGGUCUAUUAGAUUCUAGCAUUGCUUCUUGCUUACGGGAUGCCUAUACUAUCCUAUUUUAUUCUAAAAACUACCAGAACUAAGCUAAAACCCUAUAUUACCCUUUAGCAUACUGAAAUUACCAUUUACUAAGCUAAGUCUUACAAUUAACUACUAAUAACUAUAGCCAAUCCCUAAUUAUAUUUGAACUAUUAAUCAGAAAAAAAAAAUCCAACUUAGAAUUCAAACACUACUGAAUCAAGAAUUUAAAUUAAAUCCCGAAAUUAAAAGAAAAACACGAAAAGCUGUAAUUAUCAUGCCAUUAUAAAAAUUGAAACUGAUUCUUAUUCGAACUAUCAUCAACUGAACAAAUCAAAACUAAUGCUACAAGUAUCAGGAAUUGGAUAUAUGGUGGAAAACUUAAACUUAAAUAUGCAACUGAACUAAAUGGUAAUCAAAAUCAAAAAUCGAAAUAACAGAACUUAGUCAUGAUUCCUAACAAUUAAACUAGACCAAGUAAAACAAUAAUGAACAGAAACAUAAUAAGAAAAAGAAAACAUGAAACUUACUGACAUGAGUCUUCAAUUAAUUCGGCUAAUUUUAAUUUGAGUCUUCAAACGGAGUUGCAGGUUUGUUUUUGGCCAAAACGAACAUGCAACUUCGUUUUGAAACUCAAGCGGCUUGAAAAAAAUUCAACCUCAAGAUUAGGUCAAAUCCAGAUUUGAAAUUUGAAGGGCCUAGGAGCUAUUCAAAUGAAACUAACCUUGUUUUUGGGUAGGGGAGGCCAAUGGGGGUGGGUGGUAUUAAUUUGGAGGCCAUUGGCAACUGGUUGCCGCCGUGGACGACAGGGGUGUCAACUUUUAACUGAAUAUUCGGCAAGAUCGGGAUAUAUUCGAGGGUAAUCAAUGAUGUGGUUGGAAAGAAAUGAGCGAGGAGAGGAUGUGGUGUUAUUUUGGGGUCCAUCAGAGUUACACCGACGGCGGUGGCGAUUUCUUGCCGGCGGCGGGAGGUGGUGAUACGGCGGGGGAUGGGCGAUGUAACACCGGUGAAUUUAGGGUAACUUUGGACAGG